rnacentral:rRNA from 1 species
UACGGGGGGGGUAAGCGUUGUUCGGAAUUACUGGGCGUAAAGGGCUCGUAGGCGGCCAACUAAGUCGGACGUGAAAUCCCUCAGCUUAACCGGGGAACUGCGUCUGAUACUGGAUGGCUUGAGUUUGGGAGAGGGAUGCGGAAUUCCAGGUGUAGCGGUGAAAUGCGUAGAUAUCUGGAGGAACGCCGGUGGCGAAGGCGGCAUCCUGGACCAACACUGACACUGAGGAGCGAAAGCCAGGGGAGCAAACGGG